GUUAGGAAUAUUGGACAAUGGGCGCAAGCCUGAUCCAGCCAUGCCGCGUGAGUGAUGAAGGCCUUCGGGUUGUAAAGCUCUUUAGCCGAUGAUUAUAAUGACUGUAGUCGGAAAAUAAGCCCCGGCUAACUUCGUGCCAGCAGCCGCGGUAAUACGAAGGGGGCGAGCGUUAUUCGGAAUCACUGGGCGUAAAGCGUGCGUAGGCGGCUUUGCAAGUUGGGAGUGAAAGCCCAGGGCUCAACCCUGGAAUUGCUCUCAAAACUGCAAGGCUCGAAUUCGGGAGAGGAUAGCGGAAUUGUCAGUGUAGCAGUGAAAUGCGUAGAUAUUGACAGGAACACCAGUGGCGUAAGCGGCUAUCUGGACCGAUAUUGACGCUGAGGCACGAAAGCGUGGGGAUCAAACAGGAUUAGAUACCCUGUAGUCC
rnacentral:rRNA from 1 species